CUCCGAUCGCUCGCUUCCACCGCUGCUGCUUCUUCCUCCUCUGCUUCCAUCAUGACUCGCUGGAUGAGGCCCGAGCUUUGGAGUUCUUCCGUGCUCGGUCUUUGUGGUUUCCUCGGCGUACCCGUUGUUUGCGGCGGUCGGAUUUGCCGUGUGGAUGUGCGGCUUCCAGCUGGUCCGCAACGUGUACACCAACCCCGGUGUCAGGGUUAACAAGGCAGGCAGGACUUCAGGGGUGAUCAACAACCAUGAAGAAGGACACAGAUAUGCAGAGCAUGGCCUCCGGAAGUUCUUGCGGUACAGAAACCUGCAAUCAUCCCAACAAUGAACUAUUUCUUCACCAGUCCUCAUCCAAAGUGAAGGAUUCCAACCCAGAGCAGCUCAAAAUGGUUUUAUUUGUUUAUACUG